rnacentral:rRNA from 1 species
UACGUAGGGUGCAAGCGUUGUCCGGAAUCAUUGGGCGUAAAGAGCGUGUAGGCGGCUAUUUAAGUCCUGCGUGAAAUCCUGCGGCUCAACCGCAGACGGUCGUGGGAAACUGGAUGGCUAGAGUGCGGGAGAGGAGAGUGGAAUUCCCGGUGUAGCGGUGAAAUGCGCAGAUAUCGGGAAGAACACCCGUGGCGAAGGCGGCUCUCUGGAACGCAACUGACGCUGAGACGCGAAAGCGUGGGGAGCAAACAGG